rnacentral:rRNA from 1 species
CUUUACCGUGAAAAAAUUAGAGUGUUCAAAGCAGGCAGAUCCAAUUUUCUGCCACCGAAUACAUUAGCAUGGGAUAAUGGAAUAGGACCCUGUCCUCCUAUUUUCAGUUGGUUUUGGCAGCGCGAGGACUAGGGUAAUGAUUAAUAGGGAUAGUUGGGGGCAUUAAUAUUUAAUUGUCAGAGGUGAAAUUCUUGGAUUUAUGAAAGAUUAACUUCUGCGAAAGCAUCUGCCAAGGAUGUUUUCAUUAAUCAAGAACGAAAGUUAGGGGAUCGAAGACGAUCAGAUACCGUCGUAGUCUUAACCAUAAACGAUGCCGACCAGCGAUUAGGAGACGUUGAAUACAAAACACCACCAUCGGUGCGGUCGUCCUUGGCGUCGGUUUCGGCCGGCGCGAGGGCGGCUUAGCCCGGUGGCACCGGUGAAUGACUCCCCUACAG